GCCCCCUCGGCCUAUCUUUGCAUAACAGGAAGCCAAGCAUAAAAACAAGAAGCAUGCAGAAUUGUGAGUGCUUCCGACUAAACACUGCUCGGAACUGCCUCUUCCUCAGCACAUGGUGUAGUGGAGGUUUGGCAAUCGGGUGGCACACACACCCCGAGGGCCACACUGUGGCCCCUUAGCUGUAUCCAAGCUAACUGGCUUCCCAGAUAUGGAUGGAAGGAAGGACUUUGCAUCAUUGACACAGUAAGCUCAAGAACUAUUGACCUUUCCACGGUCAAAGCCAGUCAUUUGCUCCAGGCUAUGCUUCACGGUACUUGAGUGAGGCUUCGCAGGAGGCAGAGUUUCCCCUGUGACUCUGCCGCUGACAUCCUGCAGUUCUGUUUCCUCUUCAAAGCUGUCAAACUUUAUCAGCUGUCUGAAAAAAAUGCUCUAGGGGUUUCCCCUAUUAUCGGCCAAGGUCCUCAGAAAAAUGUUAGGAUUUCUUCUGAAAGCAUCUGUCUGAAGUGUGGGCUUCUUCGACAGGCAGACACAGACCUUCGCCCUGAUCCUUCUCUCUGUGGCUGGCCACCCCUUGACAGUCCUCCCAGCCUCUGCACCACAUCACCUGGUGCCCACAGAAGAUCUAGAAGAACAUCGUUCUUCUUUCUUUUUCCUUUAUCCAUUUGUUUGCUUUUAGCCGAUGGCCACUGAAAGACAAACUAAGCCUUGAAGUCGUAGGUGCAGAACCUGAAGAAGCAGGAAGCCCAGAUGGACAAACAGGAAGCAGAAGAUGGGGAACCACGCAUGGGUGACUCGGUGAUUGAUACCGUGACAGGCAGGAUUUGCCCCCACUUCCAAGUCCCACUGGUCUGGCGCAUCUUAUAGCAUAAAAGACCUUUUCAAGGUGAAAAAUCACUUAUGUUUUCAUGAGGUUUUGUUGAAAGGGAAUCAUUUCACUCAACUCAGUGUAUGCACUAAAUGGAGAUACAAUAACUGACAUGUUUUAUAAUGAACUUGCAUGGGGUACAAUCAGGAAAGAAGUAGUAAACCUCUUAAUGUGGAAUUUAAAACAUGGAAGAAAGGGUUUAUUCGUGUGCUCAAUAAUGGAUCAUACAUUUUUCUCCUUCAGCUCCUUAUCUCCGCCCUUCCCCUCUCUCCUUCACUUUUCUGGCAUUUCCUUAAUUGUAUCAACUGUGAAAUGUGAGGGCUUCAAAUCCAACCUAAGAGAAGUGGAAGGAAGCUGUACUCAGACUUAAAAAUAGCCCCAGAAAACAUCUGUUCCUUUGAAUAUAUUGAAAGAUAUUUCAAAAUACAAAUAGACAAACAUAGCUAAUUAAUUCACUUGAACGUUAAAUCCCAUUGAUAUACAGUGUGAGUUUUGUUAUACGAGGGAUGGAUGUAUAUUGGGGGAUGAAUUUCCAUAA